rnacentral:rRNA from 1 species
UACGUAGGGUGCAAGCGUUAAUCGGAAUUACUGGGCGUAAAGCGUGCGCAGGCGGUUAUGUAAGACAGUUGUGAAAUCCCCCGGCUCAACUGGGGAACUGCACAGGAAACUAGCGGGCUUGAGUUCGGGAGAGGGAAGCGGAAUUCCGGGUGUAGCGGUGAAAUGCGCAGAUAUCAGGAAGAACACCCGUGGCUAAGGCGGCUCUCUAGUACGGUACUGACGCUGAGACGCGAAAGCGUGGGGAGCAAACAGG